UUCCAAUCUCGUCCAUGGACGGAAUAACGUGUCCAGUGUUUCGAAGGUCGGGGCCCUUGAAAUUUUCUUGGCGAACGCACCCUUUCUUCGCGUGGACUGCGAAGUGAACGCCGGUCCCACGACCGACGAGGAAUCGACACUCGCAUCGGUUACGUUUCGAGGGUGCGAUCUCCCCUUUUUCGAGAGGAGAGGAGGAGGGGCGUGCAAUGGUCGAGAGCCUCCUUGACAAGGAACGACGAGGAAGCAAAGAUCAAACGUUUCAAAGUUUCUCUCCCUUCUUUAUCCCUGAUCCAACCCCGGGAGGAAAGCAGCAACGACUUUUAAAACGCAAUUUAAAACGCCGUUGCUGCCGCUUUUGUGAAAAUAAUCAAGCACUCUCCGUGCUCCAGUGUCCCAGGUGAUUCGAUCGGUUCCUCGGAUCGUGGAACUUUUUAAACCGGCGUCCGGCUUACAGGAGGGGGAGGAGAGAGCCGGGGAAAGGGAUUUUCCAAGGCAAGGAAAAGCGGCGCGAUCGGGCGGGAGUUUAAAUUAGAUUUCGUACUUCCGAGACGCUACAAGAACCUUAAAAGAGGAGUUCACCGUCUUUCUCGAUCAAUCGGUCGGUUCUAUCGAUUUUUCAGCGACGAGGAAUCGUGUUCGUGAUCGACAGCCGCAUAACAGAACGCUUGAUCCGUCGAAUCUGUCGAUAUUUUCUACUUUACCGAUCGAUCUAUAUUGUGGAAAUAUAUAUAUAUAUAUAUAUAUAUAGAAUUUCUUAAAGAUCAGACAAGUUG